GACGAACGCUGGCGGCGUGCUUAACACAUGCAAGUCGAACGAUGAAACCUAGCUUGCUAGGUCGAUUAGUGGCGAACGGGUGAGUAACACGUGACUAACCUGCCCCUUUCUCUGGGAUAACGCUCCGAAAGGAGUGCUAAUACCGGAUACUCACAUCGAGGCACAUGCCUUGGUGUGGAAAGUUUUUCGGAAAGGGAUGGAGUCGCGGCCUAUCAGCUUGUUGGUGAGGUAACGGCCCACCAAGGCGACGACGGGUAGCCGGCCUGAGAGGGCGACCGGGCACACUGGGACUGAGACACGGCCCAGACUCCUACGGGAGGCAGCAGUGGGGAAUAUUGCACAAUGGGCGCAAGCCUGAUGCAGCGACGCCGCGUGAGGGAUGAAGGUCUUCGGAUUGUAAACCUCUUUCAGUAGGGACGAAGCGAAAGUGACGGUACCUAAAGAAGAAGCACCGGCUAACUACGUGCCAGCCGCCGCCGUAA
rnacentral:rRNA from 1 species